CACGAAGGGGGCUAGCGUUGCUCGGAAUCACUGGGCGUAAAGGGUGCGUAGGCGGGUCUUUAAGGCAGGGGGGAAAUCCUGGAGCUCAACUCCAGAACUGCCUUUGAUACUGAGGAUCUUGAGUACGGGAGAGGUGAGUGGAACUGCGAGUGUAGAGGUGAAAUUCGUAGAUAUUCGCAAGAACACCAGUGGCGAAGGCGGCUCACUGGCCCGUAACUGACGCUGAGGCACGAAAGCGUGGGGAGCAAACAGG
rnacentral:rRNA from 1 species